CACGCCGUAAACGAUGGAUGCUCGGUGUCGGGGGUAUCGACCCCCUCGGCGCCCAAGGUAACCCGGUAAGCAUCCCGCCUGGGGAGUACGGCCGCAAGGUUGAAACUCAAAGGAAUUGACGGGGGCCCGCACAAGCGGUGGAGCAUGUUGUUUAAUACGUCACUAACCGUAGAACCUUACCAGGUCUUGACAUCUGCCGAACCCCCUGGAAACGGGGGGGUGCCCGCAAGGGAGCGGCAAGACAGGUGU
rnacentral:rRNA from 1 species